GACGAACGCUGGCGGCGUGCUUAACACAUGCAAGUCGAACGGAAAGGCCCCUUUGGGGGUACUCGAGUGGCGAACGGGUGAGUAACACGUGAGUAACCUGCCCUUGACUUCGGGAUAACUUCAGGAAACUGGGGCUAAUACCGGAUAGGAAUCCUUGCUGCAUGGUGGGGGUUGGAAAGCUUCGGCGGUUUUGGAUGGACUCACGGCUUAUCAGCUUGUUGGUGGGGUAGUGGCUUACCAAGGCUUUGACGGGUAGCCGGCCUGAGAGGGCGACCGGCCACAUUGGGACUGAGAUACGGCCCAGACUCCUACGGGAGGCAGCAGUGGGGAAUAUUGCACAAUGGGCGGAAGCCUGAUGCAGCAACGCCGCGUGCGGGAGGACGGCCUUCGGGUUGUAAACCGCUUUCAGCAGGGGCGAAGCUUGUGGUGACGGUACCUGCAGAAGAAGCACCGGCUAACUACGUG
rnacentral:rRNA from 1 species